CUGCCCUCAAGCGCGGCUUGUGUGUUGGGCGUGGUCCCCCUGAUGGCGGGGGGACCUGCCCGAAAGGCAGCGGCGACGUUCCGCCCAGGUCCUCGAGCGUAUGGGGCUCUGUCACCCGCUCGGGACGGACCUGCGGGACGUUGGUCAUCCACGAAAUCUUCCAC
rnacentral:misc_RNA from 1 species